rnacentral:lncRNA from 1 species
AUUAUUUUCACCAUUUUCCUUUUAACACUUUCUAAAAUUAAUUUACACUAAUUAAUUAAUUCAAAGUGCAUUUUCUAAAAUUAAAAUUAAAAAUGUUGCCCCAUACCCAGCCCCCUCACUUCUUUCUUCUUCACCAUGUCUAGCUCUUCAAUGUUUAUUUUUCCCUUUCCAUAUUUUUCAAAUGCGUUCACCGUUCGAACUCCUUUUAUCGUAACUCUCAAAUCACCGUCAAAGCUCCAUUACUAGAUUCUCUAAAACACCAACAAACAACUGAGUCACCACUUCACCAUCACUUUCUUCCUUAAAACACUAUUAAUAGCGAGCUUUAAAGUUCUUAGAGGGAGCAACUAAACAACAACAAUCAGUCUGUUUCUCUUCCUUUCGCAUCGGUAAACUCCAACGCGGGAGAGAUAAAGGAUUUGCCAUCACUGCCUUCGUCUUCAAAAAAAUCAAAAAGCAAAAAGAUCAUUGAUUCUUCCUCCGUAAAGUCCGGUAACUAGCAAAAUUUUUUGCUCUGAUUAAAAUCGAUAAAAUCUAUGUGUGAAAUAGACAUUAAUAAUAAUAUGGUGGUGUUGAAUUUUGUGGAUUACUAAAGAGAUUGUGAAACUGAAGUAGCUAAUAGAGUUAAAGGUGAAGAUGGAGGAAAGGAUGAUAGCUUCAAUGGAGAAGAAUCUAUAAUAGAUAAGACAACAAAAUAAAAAGAAUAAAAGUUAAAGUUUUCAUGGGCCAAUAAAAUUAUUCAUAUUUUUAAUAUAUUAAGAAAUAAUAUUUAAAAUAUUUAUUAUAUAUUGACCAAUAAAAAUAUGUCUUGUUUAUGAUUUUAUAAUAAUUAUUUUUCCUUUUUAACAUCUUCACACGCUAUUAAGAGAGUGAACUCACAUUCUUUGUCAUGUCAUUCCUUAGGGUUGUAUUAAUUCACUUCAAAGAUGUUAAGGAAGUAUUUAAAUACUCGUAUAAUUUAAGUGUUAAAGUGAAUUUUCGAAUCAAGUUUAGUUUGUUUUAUUUUUAUAUAUUUUCUCUAUUUUUAUAUUAAGAAGUGACUUUAAUUUUAAAACACUCAUUUUACCUAGUUAUAUAAAAAGUGUAUUAAAUAGUAAAAUAGAAAUUAGCUAAUACAUAUAUAUUUUCUAAUAUAAUAUACUAUCAAACGACCCUCAAGUCACUAAUUUAGGGAUAAACUACUAUUACCAUACUAACUUAUCCCUAUAUUAGUAUUGUCACAAGUCUCUGAUUUGUAAUUAUGAAGUGAUUUGCAACAUUCACCAACAUAAUCUCAAAUUUCCUCCAAAUAACACUCUAACUAAUAGUAGACAGUUUCACCUAUUAACAACAUUACACAAAUCAUUUGGCUAUUGGAAAUUACAAUUAGUGGAAAGUGUGUCCCUAAACUUAUGUGAGAUCACACAUCUUACUAAAUCAAGUUACCACAUUGAUGAAUUGAAACCUAUUAUUUACUUUACUUGAAGGUUUAUAUAGCAAGUUGUUAAAACUUUCUAGACUAGGGAAGAGUCUUGAAAGGAAUAGCUAUAAUAAGGAAGAAUUUGUUGGUUUAACCUUAAACUAAUCUUGUUUAGUGAAGAUUAUUUGGGGUAAAUAUUUUUUUAGUAAAUUUAUACCAAUACAUAGUGCAUUUAAAGACCUUUUAAUUUAUUAUUAAUAAUAAAAAAAAAAGUUCCUCAACAAAGAUAGGUACAAGCAAAGGCUGGGUAGGUCUUAACUUAUAACCAUCAUAAUGAGGUAGCUAACUUUUACUAAUAACAGACAUGAAGAAAAUAAGAGCCAGAGAAAACUAGAUAGUCUAUAAUACAUUCUAUGAUGAGUCGAUGAUACUAUAAAUGAAAAUGCUCAAGUAAUGCAAAAAUAUAAAAACAAACAAGAAAAUUAAGUUAUCAAACUGAAAAGGAUAGAUUGUCCGUCUAAAGUAACUUGAAGCGUUUUUCUCUUGUUUUUUUCUUAAAAAAUUUUCAAUAACAUUUGUUAGUUCAUCAAUUCUUCUUGAAUUUAUUGAAUCUUAGCUUGUUGAAGUUAUCGGCAUUAUUAUAUGAUUCUGUUUUGUCAAUCGUAUCAAUAGCUUGCCUUGAAACAAACUCUUCAAUCACUUUACAUCCCAACUAUAUAUUACUUUUUUUCAUAUUUCUUUUUCUUGUUGUAUGUCGUUAGUUAUAUAUAUAUAUAUAUAUAUAUAUAUAUAUAUAUAUAUAUAUAUAUAUAUAUAUAUAACUAACGACAUACAACAAGAAAAAGAAAUAUGAAAAAAAGUAAUAUAUAUCUUCUGAUUUAGAAUGUUGAGCUUCACAAACAAACAGCAUUCUCUCUACUGUAUGUUUGAUGAAUAUUGUAACUUCUCAUAUUAUCGUUUCUACAGGAUAACAAUGGUUUAGUCAACAAGCAGAUUUUUUCCAUCAUUUUCUCAGCAAUAAAAUUGAUAUUAUUUUCUCCUUCAAAAGAAUUGUGUGUGUCAAUAUUGAGCCCGUGCACGGGCAUUCCCUCUCUAGUAUCGUACUAAAUUUUUUAUGUAUUAAUUAAUGGGAAAAUUAUGCGGUGAAGCAAACUUAUACUAUUUAAUUACUCAUCAUACCUAUACUUUGACAAAAUUCCAAUUGCUUUCAAUGUUGACUACUUGAUUUUAUGAAUGGAAGAUAGUAGUAGUUUACAGAGAAAAAUCGUUUUACAGAGAGAAAAAUAUUGUAUUUAUUUCUUAUGCACAUUAUGAAUGAUUACAAGCUAACAUUCUGCUAUAUAUAUAUGUACAAUUAUACUAACUAACAGUGCCAGUAGACCAAUAGAACGUUGACAGUUGUAUUAGGAAUAACUGACUCAACUAAUCAGCCUAACAAGUAAUUUUACAAAUUCAAGACUUGGCAAUACUCUUUGCAUAUUCCUCAAUAACCCCCGUCAAGCUAGGGGAUAUGAAAAUGUUCUUCAUCCCAAGCUUGGAUAUAAGAUACUCGUGUUGAGCUCGUCCCAAACCUUUAGUCAGCACAUCAGCAGGCUGUUCAGAAGUAGACAAGUAUUGAAUGGUCACAAGACCUUCUUGAAUCUUCUCCAUAAUAAAAUGACAAUCAAUGUCAAUAUGUUUAGUCCUCUCAUAGAAGACAAGAUUAGAGGCAAUUUGAAUAGCAGCAGUACUAUCACACUGAAUUACAACAGGCAUAACAAUAGAAAUGCUUGGAUCCUCCCAAUCCCAAGUCUGAAAUGAUCUCUAAUGCAUAUUUCCUUUGAUGCAUAAGAAAUCCUUUAUUGUUCCUUGCAAACUCUAUCCCUAGGAAAUAUUUUAAUGGUCCUAAGUCUUUGAUCUUGAAGUUGUUUUUCAGAAUUUGCUUAGUGUCAUCAAUUAGUUCAGUGCUACUAUCGGUAACCAACAAAUCAUCAACAUAUAUCAAAACAAUCACAAUGCCUACACUUGACUUCUUGAUUAACAAAGAAUAAUCCAAGUGACUUUAUUGAAAACCAGAAGCCAUCAAUGCUUGAGUCAAUUUUACAUUCCAUUGUCUUGAAGCUUGUUUAAGACCAUAAAGUGACUUAAAAAGCUUACAGACAGGUUGAACUUCAGUGUGCUCAUGAAUGAAUCCUUGAGGCAUCUGCAUAUAUACCUCCUCUACCAGAAUACCUUUUAAAAAAGCAUUAUAUACAUCCAUUUGUUGAACAUCCCACCCUUUGGUUGCAGCUAGAGUGAGGACUGUCCUAACUGUUACCAUUUUAACAACCGGAGAAAAUUUCUCCUGAUAAUCCAACCCUUCCUGCUGAUUGUAACCUUUGGCCACUAGCCUGGCCUUAAAUCCUACAACUGUACCAUCUGCCCUUGUACUUAAUCUUGUACACCCAUUUGUAUCCUAUAGCCUUCUUCCCAUGAGGGAGUGGCACUAUCUCCCAAGUCUUAUUGUCCUCAAGUGCUUGUAUUUCUUCUUUCAUGGCUGAUAUCCAUCUCUUGUCUUUGACAACUUGAUGGUAAAACUAUGGCUCAGUGUCAAUUGAGAUGUUGGCACUGUAACCUUGAUAUGUAUGAGACAAGUUGUUGUAGUCAAUACUAUCUGUAAUAGAAUACAUACAAUGGGACUGUGAUUUUGACUUGGUGGCAGUCACAAAAUCUUUUUGCCACAAUGGAGGUCUAGAAGACCUGUUGGAAUGUCUCCUGCUUAUUGUAGAACUCAUGACAGGUUCCUCAGUGAUAGCAAGAAGUUGCAGCUGUGUUUGAAGAUUAUCCUCAAGUAUUGAAUCCUCUAGAACAAGAUCAUUUUGGCAUUCUUCAUUAUUAGAAUAAUGUGCAUCAGGGAUGAUUGUCAAAGGUAAUUGACCUGGAACCUGAGAGUCAUUAGUUGAUAUAAUAUCUUGUAAGCCAUUAUUGACAUUAGUCUGAAAGGAAAAACAGAUUCAUUAAAAAUAACAUCUCUAUUAAUAAAGAAAAAUUUAUUUUGAAGGUCAUAUAACUUGUAACCCUUUUGUGUAAUCCCAUAACCCAUAAAAACUAAUCUGAUAGCUCUUGGACCAAAUUUAUCUGCCCUUUGUAAGUUGGUUGCAUGACACAAACAUCCAAUGAUCCUCAUAUAUGACAAGUCUGGUUGUCUAUUGAACAUCAUUUCAAAGGGGGACUUGUUGCUCAAUACAGUUGAAGGAACCCUGUUAAUAAUAUGCACUGCAGCUAAGACACAAUCUUCCCAAAACUUGAUAGGAAUAUGUCCUUGAAAUCUGUUAGCUCUUGUUGUUUUCAUAAUGUGUUUGUGUUUCCUUUCAACUACACCAUUUUGUUGAGGUGUGUGUGGACAGGAACUCUGAUGAAUGAUUCCUUGAGAAAUAAACAAUUCACUCACUUGUGCAUUAAAAAAUUCUCCACCAUUGUCUGAUCUAAAACAUUUUACUUGGAUAUUAUAUUGAGUCUGAAUCAUGUUAAGAAAUUGUUUCAAUAUGGUAGAAACAUCAGACUUAAGAUGCAUCAAAUAAAUCCAAGUCCAUCUAGAGUGGUCAUAAACCAAAGUAAGAAAAAACUUCAUUUUAUUAUGAGUUGCAACUUUGUAGGGUUCCCAUAUAUCCAUGUGAAUUAGAUCAAAACAAUGUGAAUUUCUAUUUCUGCUAAUAGGAUAUGGCAAUCUAAUUUAUCUAGCUAACGGACAAAUGUCACAACAUUGUAUCACAAAAUCCCUUUUAUUUGCAAACAUAUCUAUCUUUCUAAUCACACUCAUAGGAAUGUGUCCUAGUCUCUUAUGUCAAAUAUCACCAUCAUGGGAAUCCUUCGAAGUUGCAACAAAACUCCUAUGUUGGCCGGUAUCUAAUAGUUGACAAGGUUUUAGGAUGUAUAGACCACCAUCUUUUUCACCAAUCUCCUUCACUUUCCCAAUGAAGAGAUCCUGAAGAAGAAAAAAAUCAGGGUAAAAAAUGGCACAACAAUUUAGCUGUCUAGUCAGUUUUACCACUGAGAGAAGAUUGAAAUUAAAUUUUGGUACAUAUAAUACAUUUUUAACUACAUCACCUCUUUGUAGUUGAGAACAACCUUAGCUGAGUCACCAUUUGGAAGUUGUACCUAACCUGAACAUUUCACUGUUAAUCCAUGAUUCAAUAAGCUCCCAGCCCCAACUAUAUGAUCAGUUGCCCCACUAUCUACAAUCCAAUUGAAACUAGAUGUUGAGGGAAUAGAUACAGAUUUGCCUGCAAAAAUACCUGCUAUAUUGACACUACGAUUUGUUAAAUUUGCAGCAUUUACAUCAUGG